CCGAGUCUUCGCACUCAAACAACCCUUCUGUGGACUUGAAUAAAACCGUUGCCUCGGCGGGCGGCCCCAUCUGUGGGCCGGACAGCUCGGCCGCCUUUAGGUGGGGAAACCUCCUGAGGCGCUGGCGCCAGCCGCUGGCCUAAAACAAAAAACUCUAGUGACCUUCAUUUUCUGAGUUUUAACGCAAGAAAUAAAGUCA
rnacentral:misc_RNA from 1 species